rnacentral:rRNA from 2 species
GGACUACUCGGGUAUCUAAUCCUGUUUGCUCCCCACGCUUUCGUGCCUCAGUGUCAGUGCUGGUCCAGGGUGUCGCCUUCGCCACAGAUGUUCCUCCCGAUAUCUACGCAUUUCACUGCUACACCGGGAAUUCCACACCCCUCUACCGCACUCUAGGUCGCCAGUAUCCAAUGCCAUUCCCAGGUUGAGCCCAGGGCUUUCACAUCAGACUUAACGAACCACCUACGCACGCUUUACGCCCAGUAAUUCCGAGUAACGCUUGCACCCUUCGUAUUACCGCGGCUGCUGGCAC